rnacentral:misc_RNA from 1 species
GGCUUCUUGGGGCCGGAUCUCAUUGACUCUAAUUCCCUCAUCAUUAGAGAGCUAAUAGUUCCGGUGGCUCCAACCUUAAUGGAUCCUCCACCACCUUUGAUAGGUUGCAGUUUCUGAACCAUGUUUUUGUCAGAUGAGCAAGUUUCUCCUAAGAAGGAAGAGGAAGAUCUUCAAUACUUGCCGCUGAAAAAAGGGAAAAAAUCUAAGCAAUCUAACAGUCCAUUAUCAU